CGAAAAACAAAAUCAGAUGAGAAGAUCUAACAGAAUCAGAUCACACCAAAUUAAACUGGCACAAUCUGUUAAUCUUCUUUUGGGUUCUUCCAGCCUCCUGGUAAACAAUAGCCAACCCUACACUUCUAGGCAAAUAAGGCACCUUUAUUAAGUCAGGAAUGCUUGAGAACAUAAAAUUGGCAUUUUGGUAAUUUAUUAUCAUCUUGGGAGACAGGAGGGAGACUCUUCAGCCUCAAAGCUAUUCACCAGCUUCAGCUAACAGGAAAAGAAACCCAACCCCCUGUGUUAAAACACAAAUGUUUUUGAGAUGACUGCAGAUAUGAGAGGGGACUCAGGCAGAAAGGGCUGUGUAGGUGUGAUCCAGAGCAAGAGAGAGGCAAUGGAAAAUGCAUCAGGCAGAGCAUCCAAGCAAGCACAAUGUUCCCAUCCCUUUCAGCCCUCGGUGUUGCAACUUCCAUUCUGCACCACAAACUCAUCACCAGCAGUGAGAUUGGAACCAGUUCCACAGCUCUUGGUCUUUUGCUUCUCUGAACAAUGUCCUGGAUUUCCCAGGAACUGGGAGGCACUCCAGGGAAGCAGAACAAUCCUGCCAGUAUAGAUCCAGCUAUAAAGCUGAUUCAGUCCAGGAUGUGAGAAAAGAAGUUGAAGAUAAAAAUUGUCAGAUGAAGUUAAACCUCAUUAAAAGAUGUGAAGCAUAGCUUUCAAAGCAUGACAGAAAACCUGGAUAAAUCUCUAACUAUAUUGUUCUGCUACCUUGUUAGGGAGCUGAGAAGACCCCCAAAGUUUUGGGUGUUUUUUUUAUCAGCAGAACGUGAUAUUCUCAUCUCAGAAGAUUCAGAAAUUCUGAUCCAGUGCUACAAUGCAACAGAAACUUCAACAAUAGCAUAUGGUGUGAGGUUUCACAGAAGAAGGAGAUCACAUCACACAUCUCUACAAUCUCUCUGGGGCAAAUUUAAGGAAAAUCAGAUGAUUUAGCACCAGUGUUGUGGUGCACAAUUUGUUGGGUUUUUUAGCUAAAUAACCAGAAAUGAAUGAAGACACUGAAAAUUAUGCUCAGCAGAACCAGCCAUCAGGACACUGCAGGCAUGUCAAGAAAAGGACUCAGCUUCUUUCUGCUCAUAUUAGUUUUUUUCCUGUCCUUCCAGGACAAGCAGUUCACUUUGACCCUUUUUCAACCCGAAUUCUAAAAAAGUGUUCUUUGAGAAACUGUAACAUGUUCCAUUAAAUGUGAAUCAUUUGACCACUUUCUUAGGUGUUUUCACACAUUUUUGCAUGAUUAAAACAAGGAGAGAGCAGGGGUCAUGCACUGACUGGGUGAUCUUUAUCUCCUUUGAGGCAACGUGAUUUCUGCUGGGAGAUCAGGGUUUUCUGGGAAAGUUACCUCAAGCCCACAUAUAAACAAUGUGCUGGGAGCUUCAGAAACAAGUUAAAGGAGAAACUUAAAAUAAUUUCUUUUCAAUAUUGAGAAUCUGAACAGCAAAAAUGAUUCUGUACCUGAUAUACUGGAAGCACUCUCCACUAUACAGACACUGUGCAGGACAGUCACAUUACUUCCUGUUCUCAAGGAUUUUUCUGUUUCCUCCACAGAGAUGGGAAGGUCUGUAGAACAGGG
ensembl:lncRNA